rnacentral:rRNA from 1 species
ACAAAAUCUCUAACACUUUCAGUGAGGGGACAUAUAUGUUUUAAGAAUACUGUGUAAUACACAGGCCUCAAUUUGCAAAUAUUUCUCUUUUUAGCGAUUAAUAUAUUUUUGCAAUUCUUUAUCCCUCGGGCUUGCGUCUGAUUAUUAGUUGUGAGACAUUAGCUUACCAAGGCAAUGAUCAGUAGCUGGUUCGAGAGGAUGAUUUGCCACACUGGGACUGAGACACGGCCCAGACUCCUACGGGAGGUAGCAGUGGGUAAUUUUCCAUAAUGGGCAAAAACCUGACAGAGCAAUGCUGUGUGGAGGUAGAAGGCCCACGGGUCGUGAACUUCUUUUUCCGGAGAAGAAGCAAUGAUAGUAUCUGGGGAAUAAGCAUCGAUUAGCUCUGUGCG